UGGGGAAUUUUGGACAAUGGGCGAAAGCCUGAUCCAGCCAUGCCGCGUGUGUGAAGAAGGUCUUCGGAUUGUAAAGCACUUUAAGUUGGGAGGAAGGGCAGUAACCUAAUACGUUGCUGUCUUGACGUUACCGACAGAAUAAGCACCGGCUAACUCUGUGCCAGCAGCCGCGGUAAUACAGAGGGUGCAAGCGUUAAUCGGAAUUACUGGGCGUAAAGCGCGCGUAGGUGGUUUGUUAAGUUGGAUGUGAAAUCCCCGGGCUCAACCUGGGAACUGCAUUCAAAACUGACUGACUAGAGUAUGGUAGAGGGUGGUGGAAUUUCCUGUGUAGCGGUGAAAUGCGUAGAUAUAGGAAGGAACACCAGUGGCGAAGGCGACCACCUGGACUGAUACUGACACUGAGGUGCGGAAGCGUGGGGAGCAAACAGGAUUAGAUACCCCCGUAGUCCCUGAGCGGGCUGGCAAGGCGCAU
rnacentral:rRNA from 1 species